GUGCUCACCGCGGCAGCAGAUAAACUAAAAUUGCAAAGAUACAGAAAUUAACAUGGCCCCUUUGCAAGGAUGACAUGCAAGUUCGUGAAAUGUUCCAUACUUUU
ensembl:snRNA Gm25705 predicted gene, 25705